rfam:Oryza glaberrima chromosome 11 Oglab11_0080_16, whole genome shotgun sequence.
AAAAAGACAAACCUUGGGUUUUCGUGUCUAACAUUUAACUGUCCGUCUUAUAUAAAUUUUUAUUAUAAUUAAUAUUUUUAUUAUUGUUAUAUGAUAAAACAUGAUUAAUAAUUUAUGCGUGACUUAUCUUUUUAAUUUUUUCAUAAUUUUUUUAAAUAAGACGGACGGUUAAAUGUUGGACAUGAAAACCCAACGUUUGUCUUCUU